CAGAGAUAUAAAACAAGAAAAUCUGAUUAGAAGGAUAAUGAAACAGGACCGAUACCAACAAACAAAAUACUCAUGAAACCUAUUUAUUCCUUAAGGUUCUCUACACUUCAUACCCUGGGUUGACUUUUUUAGAAUUUCCCUGUGUUCCUUCAGUACUUUAGGGAAUUUGACUGCUUUGAUUAGGGCAGGCCAUUAACAUGGUGAUCCAGAU